GGUUGACCUCGGAUCAGGUAGGGAUACCCGCUGAACUUAAGCAUAUCAAUAAGCGGAGGAAAAGAAACCAACCGGGAUUGCCCCAGUAACGGCGAGUGAAGCGGCAAGAGCUCAAAUUUGAAAUCUGGCCCCUCCGGGGUCCGAGUUGUAAUUUGCAGAGGAUGCUUCGGGUGCGGCCCCCGUCUAAGUGCCCUGGAACGGGCCGUCAGAGAGGGUGAGAAUCCCGUCCUGGGCGGGGUGUCCGUGCCCGUGUGAAGCUCCUUCGACGAGUCGAGUUGUUUGGGAAUGCAGCUCUAAAUGGGUGGUAAAUUUCAUCUAAAGCUAAAUACUGGCCGGAGACCGAUAGCGCACAAGUAGAGUGAUCGAAAGAUGAAAAGCACUUUGAAAAGAGAGUUAAACAGCACGUGAAAUUGUUGAAAGGGAAGCGCUUGCGACCAGACUCGCCCGCGGGGUUCAGCCGGCACUCGUGCCGGUGUACUUCCCCGUGGGCGGGCCAGCGUCGGUUUGGGCGGCCGGUCAAAGGCCUCCGGAAUGUAUCGCCCUCCGGGGCGUCUUAUAGCCGGGGGUGCAAUGCGGCCAGCCCGGACCGAGGAACGCGCUUCGGCACGGACGCUGGCAUAAUGGUCGUAAACGACC
rnacentral:rRNA from 1 species